AAUUUUAGUUUAAGACUGAAGAAAGGUACAAGAAUUGAAAGGGACUUGAGGCUAUUUAUCUGAAGUCACCCCAGAACAUUCCACAUUCUCAAACCUUAAGAGAAUGAUUCUCAAGGGGCCCGCGAGCACAGCAGUAGGGUCUUUCCCUUGUCUGUGGCCAAGUAGCCCGAGUGCUGUUGGGUGUGGCCCAGAAACCAAUCAAUGAAUCAAUAAAUA